AUUGAACGCUGGCGGCAGGCCUAACACAUGCAAGUCGAACGGUAGCACAGAGGAGCUUGCUCCUUGGGUGACGAGUGGCGGACGGGUGAGUAAUGUCUGGGAAACUGCCCGAUGGAGGGGGAUAACUACUGGAAACGGUAGCUAAUACCGCAUAACGUCGCAAGACCAAAGAGGGGGACCUUCGGGCCUCUUGCCAUCGGAUGUGCCCAGAUGGGAUUAGCUAGUAGGUGGGGUAACGGCUCACCUAGGCGACGAUCCCUAGCUGGUCUGAGAGGAUGACCAGCCACACUGGAACUGAGACACGGUCCAGACUCCUACGGGAGGCAGCAGUGGGGAAUAUUGCACAAUGGGCGCAAGCCUGAUGCAGCCAUGCCGCGUGUAUGAAGAAGGCCUUCGGGUUGUAAAGUACUUUCAGCGAGGAGGAAGGCGUUGUGGCUAAUAACCGCAACGAUUGGGACGUUACUCGCA
rnacentral:rRNA from 1 species